rnacentral:rRNA from 1 species
UACGAAGGGGGCUAGCGUUGUUCGGAAUUACUGGGCGUAAAGGGUCUGUAGGUGGCUUGCUAAGUCAGACGUGAAAUCCCUCAGCUUAACUGGGGAACUGCGUCUGAGACUGGCGAGCUUGAGGGCAGGAGAGGAACGCGGAAUUCCAGGUGUAGCGGUGAAAUGCGUAGAUAUCUGGAGGAACACCGGUGGCGAAGGCGGCGUUCUGGACUGCAUCUGACACUGAAAGACGAAAGCCAGGGGAGCAAACGGG